GCGCCGCUGCUUACAACGUCAUCAGACGAGCGCGGGGGUGAGGAACCCCCGCCACCAGCCUGCAGCGCGCCCGCUAUUCCUCCUAUUUGCCUCAGGUCGCCGGACCGAGCACACGCGGCCGCGACCCAUAUUACCAUACAUUUUUUCAUACUUUGUAAUACCUAGCUAUUAAAGGCUAAGUCCUAUAUUAAAUCUUCGUUCUUCAUUUAUUAACCUUAUGUGCGCUCGCACAUAAUUUGGCGCCCCCGGGUGGGCGCGGACAUCAAAACGCCAAGCCGAAACGUAUAACUCGCGCCGCGACACGCCACGACACGCCCAUGUGUCGCCGACCCGACUGCGGACUUCCAGCCAAGAAUCUUCCAUCCUAACUGCCCGAAGCUCGUCAAUCACGCCAAGAACUACAGCGGUCAAGAAUACGACGGGACCUGGACGAGUUAGCAACCACUCGAGAAGAAAUUCGUGCGCCGGAGACGUGGCGUCUAGGUACAAAGGUCGGCCGGACGGUGGACACUGCGCCGCACGCUUGGAUCAUCCUUACAAGGAGAGUGCCGUGAGCUUACCCAUCUUAUCCUUCUUUUAUUCCCCCUCAGUUUGAGCAUAUAAAGGCGAUAGCACUUCAUCAUAACGUGUGUGAACUUAGUACAUCCUUCUUGCAUCAUUUAUGACCAUAUUAGCCAUCUUCAUUGAUUAUUGCAUCGUAAUUUAAUCCUAUAAACUAUAAACGCAUCUUAUCAAUUGUUAUUUUGCAUAAAAACGCUACUUUGCUUCUUAAGCUGUUUGCACCGCCACAUGUGCUUAAUGGCAGCUCUUCUUUGAAAAGUAGCUACAUCGUGAUUAAUCUGUACUUUCUUACAGCAUCCUACAAUUUAAAUAGCGAUUUAUUGCAUCUUACGUAGUCAUCUGUUUGCCCAUUUAUUUAUUUUGCGCAAAUAUUUUCCUUAAUCGUCUUAUACAAGAUACCUAUUUUCUGCCUGCCAAUUCUACGCCGUCUUCUAGCAUACUUUUUCAUGCGCCUUUAAAUACAAAGCAUAAAAUCAAGCCUUACGUCUUAUUUUACAUUCAUUUAAUUUCACAAAUCCCUGCUUCGCACUUCGCUUCAUGCUUACGCUCGCAUAACCAAUAUUUUCUUCAUACGCAUUUCAGUGAUACACUGCCCCGGGAACGAACCCGCUUCGAGGCUGCAUCACACCAGCGCGUGCGCAACCGGCGCAGUGCUCCGUCGCCGCCACCUGGCCGGCCGCAUUCCAGAGCGCGAUAACAAUAAGGAGCGCCACUGACGUCGCUUCCGGCCCCGGACCUGACAGAAGCCAACACUCGCAACCUGGACCGCUUCAAUCGGCUGGAGCAGAUAAGGCAGCACUUCUGGAAGCGGUGGCAGUCCGAGUACGUCAUGGAGCUGCAGCAACGUUC